rnacentral:misc_RNA from 1 species
AAGGAUCAUUAACGAGUUUUGAAACGGGUUGUAGCUGGCCUUCCGAGGCAUGUGCACGCUCUGCUCAUCCACUCUACCCCUGUGCACUUACUGUAGGUUGGCGUGGGCUCCUUAACGGGAGCAUUCUGCCGGCCUAUGUAUACUACAAACACUUUAAAGUAUCAGAAUGUAAACGCGUCUAACGCAUCUAUA